AUUUAUAUAGUAUAAUAAUUACAAUUGAUUUCCAAUCAAAAAAUCUAUCAAAUUAGUAUAAAUA
rnacentral:tRNA from 1 species